rnacentral:misc_RNA from 1 species
AUUGGUUGAGGUCUUUGGAUCCCGAAUAUCGAUAUGAUCAUCAUGUUUCUUUUUUAUAGUUCAUCUAAAACUAACCCCUUGUUCAAUUUUUCUUAGUGAAUGUUAUGUGCUUGCGAAUCUGCCUAUAUAACUUCUCAUUUUGGAUAUUUGUGUUCCAGUUUUGAUUGGCAUCCUCAGUUAGUUCCACAGACAAAUAAACCUCUUCUCUGUCCUUUCCUCUGUUCCAUUGCAGACUAGUAUUGUUUAUUCUCUCUCCCUCUUCUUCUCAUUCUUUUUCCUGGUUGGAUUCCUUUUUCUAUCUUUG